GCAAACUGCGAAUACCGGAGAAUGUUAUCACGGGAGACACACGGCGGGUGCUAACGUCCGUCGUGAAGAGGGAAACAACCCAGACCGCCAGCUAAGGUCCCAAAGUCAUGGUUAAGUGGGAAACGAUGUGGGAAGGCCCAGACAGCCAGGAUGUUGGCUUAGAAGCAGCCAUCAUUUAAAGAAAGCGUAAUAGCUCACUGGUCGAGUCGGCCUGCGCGGAAGAUGUAACGGGGCUAAACCAUGCACCGAAGCUGCGGCAGCGACACUAUGUGUUGUUGGGUAGGGGAGCGUUCUGUAAGCCUGUGAAGGUGGCCUGUGAGGGUUGCUGGAGGUAUCAGAAGUGCGAAUGCUGACAUAAGUAACGAUAAAGCGGGUGAAAAGCCCGCUCGCCGGAAGACCAAGGGUUCCUGUCCAACGUUAAUCGGGGCAGGGUGAGUCGACCCCUAAGGCGAGGCCGAAAGGCGUAGUCGAUGGGAAACAGGUUAAUAUUCCUGUACUUGGUGUUACUGCGAAGGGGGGACGGAGAAGGCUAUGUUGGCCGGGCGACGGUUGUCCCGGUUUAAGCGUGUAGGCUGGUUUUCCAGGCAAAUCCGGAAAACCAAGGCUGAGGCGUGAUGA
rnacentral:rRNA from 1 species